rnacentral:lncRNA from 13 species
GCCAUGCUGCCCCCGGAGCCCCUCUUCAGCAAGAAUCUCCCUCGCCGUCGCCAAAGACGUCCUGAGCAACAGACCUGAGACAGAGACUUGAAGUACUUUUAGCUGUGCAAGAACUCUGGUUGAGCAAAAACCACACAUGCUUAUGCCUGCAAGCCUUAUUCUCAUUCUCAGCCAGGCCAGAGGAAAAGGAGGCAUCUCUGCUAAUCCUCCCACCCAGUUCCUGAGAAGAAAGCACUGGGACCCCUGGAAGCCACAUGCUAUGUUGGCCUGGCUGCUGCUCCCCAGUCCUCCUCGGGGUUAAAGGCCUGGUGCCCCCUCCCAUCACCUCCAGCCACACCUCUCCUGUCUUCAAAAGCCUAGAAGGCUAGUCCUUCCUCACUCUAAAGUGCUUUCAGAAAAAAUUCUGAAACAGUGUGUCUCAAACUGCUAUAAAGUUAUAAAGAUUUUUCACAAGAGAUCCCGUAGAUAUAUACAGAUAUUGGCAAUUAAGCAAGUGCUGCACAACAUACUACUUACCUUUGUGAAAUAUGAUGCACUCCGAUAGUUUCUAUUGUGAUUGCUAUGCUGUGCUAUGCUAUGCUAUGCUAUGCUAUGCUAUGCUAUGCUAUGCUAUGCUAUGCUAUGCUAUUCUUUUAAGAGCUCAUUAUAACUGACCAAGUGGAUUUCACAACUUUCUAAGGAAUCUAAGUCUCGGCUAAAAUACUCCAAAAAUUCCAGCAAAGACAAAAACUCAGGCCUAGAUUUGCCACCAGUGCCCUCUUCUGGGCAGCUUUAUUUUAAGUCGUGUCUAUUAACAUUGUUUAAUUGUCAUAAACAUGGUUUAAUUGUCAACAUCUGUGUGUGUGCACUGAGUCUCACCAGGAAAUAGAUGAUUUAUGUUGGUUACAACCUAAAAGAUUUAAGAAGCAAUGUUUAGAAAUGUUCUGAUGAAUAAGGGCUGAGCUGAAAGGGCAUUGUGUAUAUGUGUGUGUGUGUAAGAGAGAGAAAGGCUCUCAUUAGAGGUUGUACAGAUUUUUCUCUGCGAUCCCCUCUCUUCCUGCAAAUCAGCCAGAGGUGAGAUCUCAGGGACCUAUCCCUGCCUCCCCAAAGCCAUCCUCACAUGAGGCCAGCCUGGGAAGAGGACAGCAGAGCUCACAUCUCUGUGGAGAGGAGGCUGGGCUCAAUGCAGGCCUCUGUGUCUUUGUUCAUCUUCACUUCAUAGGUCUUGUCCUGAGACCCUCCUGCUGACACACCAUGGUUGCAUGGCUCUCCCAGGAAAGAACCUAUGAUGUUCAAGAUGGAGAAAAUCAUUAGGCACUGCC